UACGGAGGAGGCAAGCGUUAUCCGGAAUUAUUGGGCGUAAAGCGUCCGCAGGUGGCUAUUCAAGUCUGCGGUCAAAGCCUGGGGCUUAACCCUGGAAAGGCCGUGGAAACUGAAGAGCUAGAGUGCAGUAGGGGUAGAGGGAAUUCCCGGUGUAGCGGUGAAAUGCGUAGAGCUCGGGAAGAACAUCGGUGGCGAAAGCGCUCUGCUGGACUGCAACUGACACUCAGGGACGAAAGCUAGGGGAGCGAAUGGG
rnacentral:rRNA from 1 species